UAGUGUUAUAGCUCUUUUAGAAUAUGUCUAGCAGGCUUUUUGGUUGCUACUGGAAGCUGCCCCC